UCUCUUCACAGCAAUAAGACCCUAACU
rnacentral:piRNA from 1 species